rnacentral:rRNA from 1 species
AACGAACGCUGGCGGCAGGCUUAACACAUGCAAGUCGAACGCCCCGCCAGGGGAGUGGCAGACGGGUGAGUAACGCGUGGGAACAUACCCUUUCCUGCGGAAUAGCUCCGGGAAACUGGAAUUAAUACCGCAUACGCCCUACGGGGGAAAGAUUUAUCGGGGAAGGAUUGGCCCGCGUUGGAUUAGCUAGUUGGUGGGGUAAAGGCCUACCAAGGCGACGAUCCAUAGCUGGUCUGAGAGGAUGAUCAGCCACAUUGGGACUGAGACACGGCCCAAACUCCUACGGGAGGCAGCAGUGGGGAAUAUUGGACAAUGGGCGCAAGCCUGAUCCAGCCAUGCCGCGUGAGUGAUGAAGGCCUUAGGGUUGUAAAGCUCUUUCACCGAUGAAGAUAAUGACGGUAGUCGGAGAAGAAGCCCCGGCUAACUUCGUG